CGGCGGACGGGUGAGUAACACGUGGAUAACCUACCUAUAAGACUGGGAUAACUUCGGGAAACCGGAGCUAAUACCGGAUAAUAUAUUGAACCGCAUGGUUCAAUAGUGAAAGACGGUUUUGCUGUCACUUAUAGAUGGAUCCGCGCCGCAUUAGCUAGUUGGUAAGGUAACGGCUUACCAAGGCAACGAUGCGUAGCCGACCUGAGAGGGUGAUCGGCCACACUGGAAAUGAGACACGGUCCAG
rnacentral:rRNA from 1 species